rnacentral:tRNA from 1 species
UGAUGGAUGUCUGAGCGGUUGAAAGAGUUAGUUUGAAAAACAGAAGUAUUGAUAGGAAUAUAGGGGGUUCGAAUCCCUCUCCAUCUG